rnacentral:rRNA from 1 species
CGUGUAGGCGGCUUAUUAAGUCAGAUGUGAAAGCCCACGGCUUAACCGUGGAACUGCAUUUGAAACUGGUAGGCUUGAGUAUGAGAAGGGGUAGUGGAAUCCCCAGUGUAGCGGUGAAAUGCGUAGAUAUUGGGAAGAACACCAGUAGCGAAGGAGACUACCUGGCUCAUUACUGACGCUAAUGCGCGAAAGCGCGGGGAGCAAACAGGAUUAGAUACCCUGGUAGUCC